CGUCACGGGCAUUGCUUAGUACGGCGAGUGAAGCGGCAAAAGCUCAAAUUUGAAAUCUGGCACCUUCGGUGUCCGAGUUGUAAUUUGAAGAAGGUAACUUUGGAGUUGGCUCUUGUCUAUGUUCCUUGGAACAGGACGUCACAGAGGGUGAGAAUCCCGUGCGAUGAGAUGCCCAAUUCUAUGUAAAGUGCUUUCGAAGAGUCGAGUUGUUUGGGAAUGCAGCUCUAAGUGGGUGGUAAAUUCCAUCUAAAGCUAAAUAUUGGCGAGAGACCGAUAGCGAACAAGUACAGUGAUGGAAAGAUGAAAAGAACUUUGAAAAGAGAGUGAAAAAGUACGUGAAAUUGUUGAAAGGGAAGGGCUUGAGAUCAGACUUGGUAUUUUGCGAUCCUUUCCUUCUUGGUUGGGUUCCUCGCAGCUUACUGGGCCAGCAUCGGUUUGGAUGGUAGGAUAAUGACUAAGGAAUGUGGCUCUACUUCGGUGGAGUGUUAUAGCCUUGGUUGAUACUGCCUGUCUAGACCGAGGACUGCGUCUUUUGACUAGGAUGUUGGCACAAGGAGCGGAAGCCCCCCCCCCCGAAUGAGUAACCC
rnacentral:rRNA from 1 species